GCCAUACCAUGCUGAAAGCACCGGUUCUCCUCUGAUCACCACAGUUAAGCAGCAUCAGGCAAGGUCAGUACAUGGGAGGGUGAUCACCUGGGAUCGCAGUAUGCUGU